AUGUCUUGUUACCUUUUGGCUGAGAUCAAGUGGAUUAUCUGUUCUUAUCAACUUAGUACGCGAUGUGUCCUCUGUCCAAGGACAAACAAAUUAAAUGGAUUUUUGGAGCAGAAAGACAGAAUGGACCGUGUUCAUUCCACUCAUCGGUGUGAUUUCUCCCGAAAUGGUCCACGCCCUCAGUU